CACGGCAAGUGAUUUAAAUAAUUCCUUAUUGUCGAAAAGAGUUUAAAUAAAUUAUUGUUAGUUCUUUAGUAAAUUAUUGUUGCUGUUUUUAUAUGCAUUUACAAUAAAACAAUAACAUAAAUUUAAAUUAUCGAAUUGACUCAGCAGACCAUGGAAAAUCUAACACGGUCGGCACGGCAAGUGAUUUAAAAAAUUCCUCAUUGUCGAAAAUAGAUUGAAUGAAGUAUUGUUACUUCUUCAGUAAAUUAUUGUUAGUGUUUUUACUUUUUUUUACUAUAAAACAAUGACAUAAUUUAAAAUUAUCGAAUUGACUCAGCAGACCAUGAAAAUCUAACACGGUCGGCACGGCAAGUGAUUUAAAUAAUUCCUUAUUGUCGAAAAGAGUUUAAAUAAAUUAUUGUUAGUUCUUUAGUAAAUUAUUGUUGCUGUUUUUAUGUGUAUUUACAAGAAAACAAUAACAUAAAUUUAAAUUAUCGAAUUGACUCAGCAGACCAUGAAAAAUCUAACACGGUCGGCACGGCAAGUGAUUUAAAUAAUUCCUUAUUGUCGGAAAUAGAUUAAAUAAGUUAUUAUUACUUCUUCAGUAAAUUAUUGUUAGUGUUUUUACUUGUUUUUACUAUAAAACAAUGACAUAAUCUAAAAUUAUCGAAUUGACUCAGCAGACCAUGAAAAUUUUACACGGUCUGCACGGCAAGUGAUUUAAAUAAUUCCUUAUUGUCGAAAAGAGUUUAAAUAAAUUAUUGUUAGUUCUUUAGUAAAUUAUUGUUGCUGUUUUUAUAUGCAUUUACAAUAAAACAAUAACAUAAAUUUAAAUUAUCGAAUUGACUCAGCAGACCAUGAAAAAUCUAACACGGUCGGGACGGCAAGUGAUUUAAAUAAUUCCUUAUUGUCGAAAAGAGUUUAAAUAAAUUAUUGUUAGUUCUUUAGUAAAUUAUUGUUGCUGUUUUUAUAUGCAUUUACAAUAAAACAAUAACAUAAAUUUAAAUUAUCGAAUUGACUCAGCAGACCAUGGAAAAUCUAACACGGUCGGCACGGCAAGUAAUUUAAAAAAUUCCUUAUUGUCGAAAAUAGAUUGAAUAAAGUAUUGUUACUUCUUCAGUAAAUUAUUGUUAGUGUUUUUACUUUUUUUUACUAUAAAACAAUGACAUAAUUUAAAAUUAUCGAAUUGACUCAGCAGACCAUGAAAAUCUAACACGGUCGGCACGGCAAGUGAUUUAAAUAAUUCCUUAUUGUCGAAAAGAGUUUAAAUAAAUUACUGUUAGUACUUUAGUAAAUUAUUGUUGGUGUUUUUAUUUUUUUUUUUUUACUAUAAAACAAUGGCAUCAUUUUAAAUUAUCGAACCGACUCAGCAGACCAGGAAAAAUCUAACACGGUCGGCACGGCAAGUGAUUUAAAUAAUUCCUUAUUGUCGAAAAAAGUUUAAAUAAAUUACUGUUAGUUCUUUAGUAAAUAAUUGUUGGUGUUUUUAUUUUUUUUUUUACUAUAAAACAAUAACAUAAUUUUAAAUUAUCUGAUUGACUCAGCAGACCAGGAAAAAUCUAACACGGUCGGCACGGCAAGUGAUUUAAAUAAUUACUUUAUUGUCGAAAAUAGUCUAAAUAAAUUAUUGUUACUCCUUUAGUAAAUUAUUGUUGCUGUUUUUAUCCAUAUUUACAAUGAAACAGUAACAUUAUUUUAAUUUAUCGAAUCCACCGCAGCAGACCAGGAAAAGCCUCACACGGUCGGCACGGUGAGUGAUAUAAGUAGUAAUUUUGUCUUUAUUAUUAUCAGUUUUAUUGCAUUAUCAAUCUUCUGACAAUACUUUAUUGUAAAUAUUUCACUUGAAAAGUUUUAUGUAGUCAGUAUGUGAUUGUAAUUUGAUUUCAAGGAAAUCUGUAGGUUUUUAAAAAUUCAAAUCUUGGCGGUCGUAUUGGUAGAUGUCAGAACGUUUUUUCUGUUUUCGGCCAUCUUUAAUUUUUCAGAAUGCGCGACUAUCAUUCGUUUUUUGGACUCGACUCGUUUUAUUGCAACUGUAAGCAUUAAUGAAACGUUCUUCUCAAACUCCAGUAUUCGAUUAAUUGCAAACUUAAAAAAAUAUCAGAGCCACUUUAUGAAAAAAAAAUAUUUUUUUCAUACGAGGAUGUCGAAAAUGCAUUGGCAGAGUACGAAAAUUCUACAAAACACAGACUGUCUGUUAAAAAUAGCAAAACUCUGCACAAUGUUCUCAAUGACAAAGGUAACGUGGAGCUUGAUGCUAAUUUAAUAUACAACGAGAUCUAUUAUCAGUGUUGCACUGUAAAAAACUCUGAUAAAUCCAAAUUGUGUCCAGCCACCUUGAAUCUUCACUUACCCCCAAUAAGCAUCAUUUAGAAGUUGAUUGCUGUAAUGUGGAUCAUGAUCACAGACCGUUACCAAUGCUUUAAAGCCUUUGUAUUCAGAUACUCGAAACAUUAUAAACCAAUUCGAAAAAGGCACUUAUUCGACUUGUGAAGCCAAAAGAACGACCGUGGAAUCAAAUAAUGAAAUAAAAAAUUUCUGGGAAAAUGUAAAUUACGGAAUGACAUCUGGUGGGAUGAGUGCUGAAGCAGUGUUUGCAAAAUUGAAUGAAUUUGAUAUUUUAAAAAAGCUUCGUAGCGGAGAAAUCGACAACGUGACGUACUCUGACGAUUUCGAAGAUGACAUUUAAAAAUUAAUUAAUAACAAAUAAUAAAAUUAACUGUAUUAAAAAUGAAAAUACAUAUAUUACUAGUGUGUAAAAGUAGA